UCCUCAUAGCAGUAUGUCUUUAUUAACAGUAUGAGAACGGACUAAUACACAAGGCGACUCCUGUCUCACCUGGGCAGACACAGACACCUCCUGAGCAGAGAAAGAGCCACCUAGCAAGAAGUUGAACACAUAAGUGAGCCCAGGACUUUGACUCCUCCACCACCACCCAGCUCUGUGAUCAGAGCUGUGAGGGGCACAUCUGGUAUAGGGACAGUGCCUCAUGGUUUUCAUUUCAAUUUCCCCUAAUGCUGUUGAAUGGCUGUGUUUUAGCACCAGUUAAUCCUGUGGCAAGCGGUCCAGAUACAAAUGCCCAUCCCCUGGGAUGCUGGGAGCUCCCAGGCCACCAUGAGACCUCUGUGAGGGCAGGCUGCAGGCCCAGGGCUGUCCCAGGACCCCCACUGUGCUCAGCAUGAGUGGUGCCCACCACCCCUCCACGCUCAGUCCCUCACCUGUGAUGGGCCAGCUGCUGGGUGACACCAGGUUCAGGCAGUACCAGGUGCUGAGAAUUCCUCUGACCAUCCAUAGUGGCCCCUCUUGGGGCACAGAUCCACUUGUAGUACCAGGAGUGGGCCUUCUUCUAUAGUAAGCAAUUGGGUGGAGCUGCCCAUGCCAAAGGCCCAUGCCAAAGGUGCUGUGCUGCCUCGCAUGAGCUCUACUCCAAAUCUGUCAGAGGAGGGGUGCUGCCCCAUUGAAUGGCUGGGGCUUCACAAAAAGGGGGAGUGUCUGCCUCUGCACCCAAUGUGGCCUCCCCAGUGACUCAUUAUCAGGUCCUGUAACCCUGUCCCACCUCCCAGCUCGUGCUGGCAAGAGCCCCAAGGGAGGCUGCAGGUAGUUGGGCCCCAGGCUUCACCCCACCAUCCAGAGAGGGCCACACUCAGGUUUCUCACCCUUCCCCCACUGUCCUGUGUCUGACAUUGACCACAGCCCUGAGCGGUACCCCAGUGAGGCCCCAGCUUCACCCAGGUUUGAUGCUGGAAGUGCUUGGUGGCCAUCAAGAAGGCCAGGGGCAGUGGCUCAUUCAAUCUGCUCCUUUCCCUGACACACUGGAACCCCAGGACACCCUCCCUCCGCUGUGGGCCAGCGGAGGCCUGGGGGCUGAGGGUCCAUCUGUCUGGCCACUUUCCAUGGCUCUGUAGGGGCAUGCAGCCCUCCAUACAGGGCCCAGGUAGCACCUGGAGGACACAGAGGAAAGCCCAGAGGAUCUUUGAGGGAGUGACUGAGCCUCAGGGAAGGGCCACACCACCCCCGGGCCGUGCACCCCCCAUCUGCAACUCCCAGGUGGUGCCAGGGGGUCUGGGGGAGUGUUUGCUGCACAAAUACACACAAAGAUCACAGCCUCCCUCCUCAGGGCACACCCCACCCAGUUCCCCCCACAUCCUCUGCCCCUGAGGCAGGUGGCAGCCAUCCCGGGGGACCUCCCAGCAGGGCUGCAGGAGGUAUGAGGGGCACCCCACUGGCUCCACCUGGGUUGCUGGCAGGACUCUGUACUCCAGGUUCAGGGAUCCCCAGCCUGACCCUCUGGCCUGUGGCCAAACACCUCCUCGCUGAGCCUCCACCCCAGAUUCCUCAGGCUGCCCCCCCAUUCAGUGCCUGGCUCCAGUCUUCACUGUCAAAGCCCCAGGGGAGUGCCCUGGACUGAGAAUAGCAGCUGCACCCACAGCUCCCCACCCUGUGCCAGGCACAGCCCAGCUCCUCACAAACCUUAUCUCCUGGCACUGGGGCACAGCCAAGGCCUCUGCCUCCACUCUGGCCUUGGACUCCCCACCUUUGUUAUCUGAGCCUGGACUCCUGCACCUGCACAGUUCCCCCCACCCCAACCCUGUGGCUGCUACUGCUGUGGGAGCCUGGCUAACAUGAAGGCCUUGUCCAUCCACCAGGCCUGACCGGGCAGGCUCUCUUCUUUCAGGAAUUUUAUGGGCAAGGGGAGGAGGGCCCCACUGGUGGUGCCACAGGGCAAGGAACAGGCCAAGGCGGUGGCAGUGACCAGGGCAGCGACCACUGGGUGUACCCUGCAGUGUGGCCUAGAAGGCUGAAGCGUUGCGGUCCCUGGGAGCCCUCGGAGCCCAUGCGGACAAGCUUGACCACUUCUAGCCAGGGCCUCGGUGGCUGUUCCUCCCCUCGGGAUCUCCAUUUCAUAUAUCAAAUAAAGGUUUCGGUGGACGUGUCUAAGUGCCCUCCCAGCUUUUGGAAACACUGAGACUGAAACCCCGGGUGGUUCAAAAGACUCAUGAGUGGCUCACAGGCCAGGAGCCAAUGGCCAAAUAAUCACAUUCCUCACAAUCAAAUGAAAUUCUCCCAGCUGGCCUGUUGUAGAUCUCGGGUCGAGAUUCAUGCACUGUAAACACUUGGUAUCAACUGGCUGACGAGUUGCAGCCUGCACCGGAGAAGCAAGAGGGAAUGGCUUCCAUCUAUCUUCCCAAAGCCAACUCAGAGGGUCUGUGCCGUGUCUCAACCCUGGCAGGCCCAGAUUGAAGGCACGAGAACACGGAUUUGCAGUCCCUUGUGAUCAGGGUCCAGAAUCAGCUCAGCAAGGUGGAGUGAGUCUCAUGGGCCCCCAGCAAUUGGCACAGGGGCUUGGGACCCAGGCCUCCAGGCUUCCCCGCACAUUCCCGGCGCUGCCCCCUCCACACCACAGAGACCCGCGACCCCUGCCCCACUGCUCCUUCGGCCUCUUCUUCGCUGCCCCCCUGGACUCACGUAGCGUUUUGAAGGUGAAUUCUGCUUACGGUGAAUGCCAUUUUGAGGUCGUCUGUGGACAGAGGCUUCUGUGGAUCAGUGUAAACGACAGAAACGUGCCUGGCCAGUGCUGUACUUGCCAUGCGUAACCAGAAAAAGGUUACAGGAUGCAAAGGCUCAGUGAUCACAGCUGAGACCCAACUCCUCCUUGGCAGGGAUCAAGUUCAAACUUUUAACCUCCUCACCAGGCUCGGGUUUCCUCUCCCCUCCCCUCCUGCCCCUGAGGAUGGGGGUCUCCAAAAAAACCUGAGUCCCUUCUUUCCUAGAAGUUCAAACUUGUGGUCCCAGGGAGUCCACAGCCUGAGGAAUUCAGGGCAAGAAGGGAUCACGUGCCCUUGUUUCACAGAUCCCUUGGAAGGGAACGGGAGGCUUCACAACUGGAUCCA
rnacentral:lncRNA from 10 species